rnacentral:rRNA from 1 species
UACGUAGGGUGCGAGCGUUAAUCGGAAUUACUGGGCGUAAAGCGUGCGCAGGCGGUUUUCCAAGACAGAUGUGAAAUCCCCGGGCUCAACCUGGGAAUGGCAUUUGUGACUGGAAGGCUAGAGUGUGUCAGAGGGGGGUAGAAUUCCACGUGUAGCAGUGAAAUGCGUAGAGAUGUGGAGGAAUACCGAUGGCGAAGGCGGCAUCCUGGACCGGUAUUGACGCUGAGGCGCGAAAGCCAGGGGAGCAAACAGG